AUGUUAAUAGCAUACUCAUUUGACGUUAGCUGCAGUAAGAAGCACCGGCUAACUCCGUGCCAGCAGCCGCGGUAAUACGGAGGGUGCGAGCGUUAAUCGGAAUUACUGGGCGUAAAGCGCAUGCAGGUGGUUUGUUAAGUCAGAUGUGAAAGCCCGGGGCUCAACCUCGGAAUUGCAUUUGAAACUGGCAAACUAGAGUACUGUAGAGGGGGUAGAAUUUCAGGUGUAGCGGUGAAAUGCGUAGAGAUCUGAAGGAAUACCGGUGGCGAAGGCGGCCCCCUGGACAGAUACUGACACUCAGAUGCGAAAGCGUGGGGAGCAAACAGGAUUAGAUACCCUGGUAG
rnacentral:rRNA from 1 species